GCUGGGUGGUAGUGGCGUGCACCUGUAAUCCCAGCUACUUGGGAGGCUGAGGCAGGAGAAUCACUUGAGCCUGGGAGGCUGGGAGGUGGAGAGUGCGGUGAGCCGAGAUUGCACCACUGCACUCCAGUCUCCAGUCUGGGUAACAGAGUGAGACCCUGUCUCAA
ensembl:misc_RNA Metazoa_SRP Metazoan signal recognition particle RNA